UAGGGAAUAUUGGUCAAUGGGCGGAAGCCUGAACCAGCCAUGCCGCGUGCAGGAAGACGGCCUUCUGGGUUGUAAACUGCUUUUACCAGGGAACAAAUAGGCCAUGCGUGGCAAGUUGAGUGUACCUGGAGAAUAAGCACCGGCUAACUCCGUGCCAGCAGCCGCGGUAAUACGGAGGGGGUUAGCGUUGUUCGGAAUUACUGGGCGUAAAGCGCACGUAGGCGGACUAUUAAGUCAGGGGUGAAAUCCCGGGGCUCAACCCCGGAACUGCCUUUGAUACUGGUAGUCUUGAGUUCGAGAGAGGUGAGUGGAAUUCCGAGUGUAGAGGUGAAAUUCGUAGAUAUUCGGAGGAACACCAGUGGCGAAGGCGGCUCACUGGCUCGAUACUGACGCUGAGGUGCGAAAGCGUGGGGAGCAAACAGGAUUAGAUACCCGUGUAGUCC
rnacentral:rRNA from 1 species